UACGAAGGGUGCUAGCGUUGCUCGGAAUUACUGGGCGUAAAGGGCGCGUAGGCGGAUAUCUAAGUUGGGGGUGAAAUCCCGGGGCUCAACCUCGGAAUUGCCUUCAAAACUGGAUAUCUUGAGUUCGGGAGAGGUGAGUGGAACUCCGAGUGUAGAGGUGAAAUUCGUAGAUAUUCGGAAGAACACCAGUGGCGAAGGCGACUCACUGGCCCGAUACUGACGCUGAGGCGCGAAAGCGUGGGGAGCAAACAGG
rnacentral:rRNA from 1 species